GACCCUGAGAUGGGAUCAGUUGGUCAGAGCCUGGUGCUAGUAAAACCAAGAUUGUGGGUUCAAUCCUCACAUGGGCCA